UACGUAGGGGGCAAGCGUUAUCCGGAUUUACUGGGUGUAAAGGGAGCGUAGGUGGCGAUGCAAGUCUGGUGUGAAAGCCCAGGGCUCAACCCUGGGACUGCAUUGGAAACUGUGUUGCUAGAGUGCAGGAGAGGUAAGUGGAAUUCCUAGUGUAGCGGUGAAAUGCGUAGAUAUUAGGAGGAACACCAGUGGCGAAGGCGGCUUACUGGACUGUAACUGACACUGAGGCUCGAAAGCGUGGGGAGCAAACAGG
rnacentral:rRNA from 1 species